UAGGGAAUCUUCCACAAUGGACGAAAGUACUGAUGGAGCAACGCGCGUGAGUGAAGAAGGGUUUCGGCUCGUAAAACUCUGUUGUUAAAGAAGAACAUAUCUGAGAGUAACUGUUCAGGUAUUGACGGUAUUUAACCAGAAAGCCACGGCUAACUCGUGCCAG
rnacentral:rRNA from 1 species